GACGAACGCUGGCGGCGUGCUUAACACAUGCAAGUCGAACGGAAAGGCCCUGCUUUUGUGGGUGCUCGAUUGGCGAACGGGUGAUUAACACGUUAGUUACCUGCCCUUUUCUUUUGGUUAACUUCUGGAAACUUGUGCUAAUACCGGAUAGGAGCUCCUGCUUCAUUGUGGGUGUUUGAAAGUUUCGGCGGUUGGGGAUGGACUCGCGGCUUAUCAGCUUGUUUGUGGGGUAGUGGCUUACCAAGGCUUUUACGGGUAGCCGGCCUGAGAGGGUGACCGGCCACAAUGGGACUGAGAUACGGCCCAGAAUGCUACGGGAGGCAGCAGGGGGGAAUAUUGCAAAAUGGGCGGAAGCCUGAUGCAGCAACGCCGCGUGCGGGAUGACGGCCUUCGGGUUGUAAACCGCUUUCGCCUGUGACGAAGCGUGAGUGACGGUAAUGGGUAAAGAAGCAACGGCUAACUACGUG
rnacentral:rRNA from 1 species